GCGCCCUCGGUGUCGAGCUGACCAAGUAAUGAAAAACGCGCACUUUGAAAACAUUCAAAUCAUCCAAUGAGAGUGCGAUGCCGUUAACUGGCAUCAGCUGGUUUUGUGGUGUGCAUACGUGCGAUUAAAAAAGCCGCUGCUAUGAAAGUGUAAAAUCGUGCAGGGAAAAAAGCCGGACUGAGGUAAGUAUUUAGAAUAGGAAUAUACUUAUUAAUAGUUCUAUUUUAGGCAUUUCUUACAUCUCUCGAACAUGGAGAAACCACGCCGUAUUGCAUAUCGAUGUAAAUAUCCAAACUGCGGAAAUGUGUUCUACAAGGGUGGUGGUAAUGACCUUAGAUUUUACCAUUUUCCAAGAAAUGUGGAAAUGGAGGAACUUUGGAGACAAAUUUGUAAAAUUGAUGCAAGUAAACCGUGUAAGUCCUUAUACUUGUGUAAAAAUCAUUUUCACUCGACAGAUUUUCAUGAUCCAUUACAUCGAAACAGACUGUUGCCUAAUGUGGUCCCAAAGGAAUAUGUCUCCAAAGAGUCCAUGAGCAGUCAAGUGGUUGCAGCGGAAAUUUACACUCAGUUGCUGUGGAAUCCGUAGCUAGUUGCUCAUUUUCUGCUGAAACAGACUUUUCUACCGUAGAAGAAAGUAACGUUUGCUGAGAGGAAAUUGCUUCAGAGUUGUAGUUCGCCUCCUCGUGGUGCACCUUGAGUAACGCUAAAUGAAUUGGCACAUAUCGAUAUUGACAGAAAUAUCUCGUCAAGUACGCAGUUGUUCAUUUUCCUUACAACACAAUCUGACAGGAGGGAUGAUAACCCUAGAAGCUUCACAUUGUGAGUUACAUAUCUUUCUCUUAUUAUUAUUGUAUCUAAUAUUUGUAUUUCUUGAUUUGUUUAUUUGAUAUGUAUUUAGAUGUAUGAUAAUAAAUAGGUUACAUUACA